rnacentral:rRNA from 1 species
ACUCAAAUGAAUAGACGGGGGCUCACACAAGCGGUGGAGCAUGUGGUUCAAUUCGAAGCAACGCGCAGAACCUUACCUGGGCUUGACAUGGCCGGAUUAUCCCCGUGAAAGCGGGGUAGGCCCCGCAAGGGGUACAACGGUCACAGGUGCUGCAUGGCUGUCGUCAGCUCGUGUCGUGAGAUGUCGGGUUAAGUCCCUUAACGAGCGAAACCUUUGCCCCUAGUUACCAGCGGGUCAUGCCGGGGACUCUAGGGGGACUGCCGGUGUCAAACCGGAGGAAGGUGGAGAUGACGUCAAGUCCUCAUGGCCUUUAUGCCCAGGGCCACACACGUGCUACAAUGGCGCCGACAGAGCGAGCCGAGGCCGCGAGGCGGAGGUAAUCGCACAAAUGGCGCCCCAGUUCAGAUCGGAGGCUGCAACCCGCCUCCGUGAAGGUGGAAUCGCUAGUAAUCGCGGAUCAGCCACGCCGCGGUGAAUGUGUUCCUGAGCCUUGCACACACCGCCCGU